rnacentral:rRNA from 1 species
AUUGAACGCUGGCGGCAGGCCUAACACAUGCAAGUCGAACGAGUGGCGGACGGGUGAGUAAUGUAUGGGAAACUGCCUGAUGGAGGGGGAUAACUACUGGAAACGGUGGCUAAUACCGCAUACUAUCGGAUGUACCCAUAUGGGAUUAGCUAGUAGGUGGGGUAAAGGCUCACCUAGGCGACGAUCCCUAGCUGGUCUGAGAGGAUGACCAGCCACACUGGAACUGAGACACGGCCCAGACUCCUACGGGAGGCAGCAGUGGGGAAUAUUGCACAAUGGGCGCAAGCCUGAUGCAGCCAUGCCGCGUGUAUGAAGAAGGCCUUCGGGUUGUAAAGUACUUGCGGCAGGGAAGCGUUACCCACAGAAGAAGCACCGGCUAACUCCGUGCCAGCAGCCGCGGUAAUAC